AGAACAUACUCCAAGGAAACUGUCUACAGGCGAGGUUGAUGUGACCAAUGGCCAAGCUUCAGGUAAACAGAAGUGGGACGUGAGUCAGAAGUCAGCCUCAGUGAGUGGGGGCCGGGCUUGUCUGCACCCUAACAGAGAUGUUCCCAGGAAGGGCUUGGUCAGGAUGGUUCGUUGUCUCUCCCUCAGCAUUUCCAGCAUUGUUUCCUGGCCUUCUGUUUUCCCAAAUACAGUCACGGAGGAAGACAGAGAGGAGCCAUAUUCUUGGUUUCCACCUAGAGACAGAAAGAAGUGAAAAGAGCAUCAUCCCCACUCUUAUAAGAAGAAAAAAGUCAAAGAUACAAGAUUUCUUGAACUCAUCAGAGGGCUGA
rnacentral:lncRNA from 1 species